CAUGACUGCUUUCCCUACUUCUGCCCUGUGGCCUUAGGACACUUAGGCAUAUCCACAGCUCUUCAAAUAAGCAAUGUGAUGUUAGCAAAAGUGCAGGGGCUCCUUGAGAACUUUCCAGGGCUAACCAGCUGCUGAGGAGUGGCCUCCAGGAAAGAGAGAAGCACUCUGAUUCAGGCAGUGAUUUACACCUAAAAUACCAACUCCAUCAUAUCUUCAGAACAAUUCUUCUAGACCUUGCAUCUAAAUAUGGGUUUCUGACUAUGCAAUGUUUGGGGAUUACGACUAUCACAAGCAGGGAUUUUAGCCAGGAUGCUGACUGCAUGAAUUAAUGCCUACUCCUGGAGCAGUCAUUAACUAACAACGAACAAAACCUCUGGAUGGCCGAAGGACCUAGGCUAUACAGAAAGCUGUGAAUUACCAAUGAGAACGCAGUGUUGUCUGGCUAGAGCAACACAGCAUAAAACAUGACUACUGGAUUUGGCACAAAAUGUACCAAUUAACCUAUGUUGAUUAAUUAGAUCAAAGAUGUCCCUAAGAAGCGUUGAGAUGUCACAAAGUUCUAGGUAAGGAGAGAGCUUUAGUUUUCAGCAUGUGCAAAGAUGAAGAGGCAUAAGGACUGACCAGUGGGUCACGGCAAUGAGACAUUUACUGCUGACCUCCAAGAGAAGACUUCCAUUGAAUGAGAGGAAGAUCUACACUACUAAUGAUCAAACUGACCUGGAGCAGUAUCUGACACAGAUAUGUGUUGAGUGAAUGGAUGAAUAAAUAGAUAGAAGGAAGAUCCUCCAACUAUGAAGUUUCUUCUUUUCUUCUGCUGCUGUUGAGUAGAUGAGGGUGCCAAGAAAUAAGACAGCAACACCAGGAAGAAGAACAAAUUUGGGGUAGGAAGUGGAAGAGUAGGUUUGAAAUGCUCCAUGGGACUUGACUGCUGUGCUAUGCUCUCUCCACUGCAGGAUCUCUAAUGCCUGUCAUCUGCGCCAUGGGCUUUAGUUCAAGUGAGUCUUCCUCCUACCUUCCGUGGUUUGGUGGAUGAUUUCAAGUUUAAGAGUGACGGAAUGCCAUGAAUUUUCAUGCUGCCUACAUUUCAGUAAGACAACCUUGCUGGAUUUCCCCCUCCAUUUUGGAUUAUAAAAUCUAACCCCUGCGGAACAUCCUUUCACUUGGAGAGAAAAAUUUACUUGGAAAAAUUUCACUUGGAGAGAAAACCAAGAAAGCUUCUUGGUUUCCUGAACUAUUUUGAUUAUCUGUGUAGAUAUGGCUUAUAGUAUUGAAAUGAGGUGGCAGAAAGAGUAGUAGUGAUAAAAAUGGAGAAGAGAAAGGUCAAGUGAGUUUCAGUGAUUUUGCCAACUAAAUUCUAGGAUCCUUAAUGAAAAAAAUGUGACCACCUUUAUCACUUUCCAGGAUCAUCCUGUAUUUUCAAGUUUCAGUAGGUACCCUUUUACUGUGAUGGAAAGAAAUGCUUGACUUGGGUCUAUAUAUUUAAAUUUAUUUUUA
rnacentral:lncRNA from 1 species